GAGGCGAUAAAAUUUUCUCUCUUUGCGUCAACAACAACACCAUUUCGAUUCGAGGUCGAAUCUUUCGAACCUGGAGGGACCUGAUGCAGCGUCAUCAUGCUUGGACGGCAAGAAACCCAAUGUUACAAUUAGGCUUUAAGUUUUCCUUAUUAUUAUUAGGUUUAUUAUAUUUCCUUUUAUUUUAUCUUUUAGGAUACUGAAAACCCUAGAUGAAUCUUAUUUAUUCAUUAGAAGGCAGCUUUUGAUAAUUAAUAAACUAGAGAGUUUCUCUUUUUUCUUGUUCUUGAUUUGGUUGAGCUGAUUAUCUAGUCCUUACGCUGCGCCAAUAAGGGACUCUAAAAUCCUGAAAUAAGGGAUCUAA
rnacentral:lncRNA from 1 species